rnacentral:misc_RNA from 1 species
UCAUUGCAACCCUCAAGCUCAGCUUGGUGUUGGGCACCGCCCCCCCGGGGUGGGCCCGAAAAUCAGUGGCGGUCCAGUGAGACUUCAAGCGUAGUAAAUUAUUCAUCCGCUUUGGAAGCUUCUCCCUGUGUGCCAGCCGGAAAACCCCAUAUUUUUCAAUGGUUGACCUCGGAUCAGGUAGGGAUACCCGCUGAACUUAA